GAUGAACGCUGGCGGCGUGCCUAAUACAUGCAAGUCGAACGCGCAGCGAAAGGUGCUUGCACCUUUCAAGCGAGUGGCGAACGGGUGAGUAACACGUGGAUAACCUGCCUCAAGGCUGGGGAUAACAUUUGGAAACAGAUGCUAAUACCGAAUAAAACUUAGUAUCGCAUGAUAUAAAGUUAAAAGGCGCUACGGCGUCACCUAGAGAUGGAACCGCGGUGCAUUAGUUAGUUGGUGGGGUAAAGGCUUACCAAGACAAUGAUGCAUAGCCGAGUUGAGAGACUGAUCGGCCACAUUGGGACUGAGACACGGCCCAAACUCCUACGGGAGGCUGCAGUAGGGAAUCUUCCACAAUGGGCGCAAGCCUGAUGGAGCAACGCCGCGUGUGUGAUGAAGGCUUUCGGGUCGUAAAGCACUGUUGUAUGGGAAGAAAUGCUAAAAUAGGGAAUGAUUUUAGUUUGACGGUACCAUACCAGAAAGGGACGGCUAAAUACGUGCCAGCAGCCGCCGUAA
rnacentral:rRNA from 1 species